UGGAAGCAUGGGGAGCCCUUCGCUCUCAGC
rnacentral:piRNA from 1 species